rnacentral:rRNA from 1 species
ACGGGGAAGCUUGCUUCCCCGGGCGUCGACCGGCGCACGGGUGAGUAACGCGUAUCCAACCUGCCUCUGACUGAGGGAUAACCCGUCGAAAGUCGGCCUAAUACCUCAUGGCAUCGUCUGCGGGCAUCCAACGACGAUUAAAGAUUUCAUCGGUCAGGGAUGGGGAUGCGUCUGAUUAGCUUGUUGGCGGGGUAACGGCCCACCAAGGCUACGAUCAGUAGGGGUUCUGAGAGGAAGGUCCCCCACAUUGGAACUGAGACACGGUCCAAACUCCUACGGGAGGCAGCAGUGAGGAAUAUUGGUCAAUGGGCGAGAGCCUGAACCAGCCAAGUAGCGUGCAGGAUGACGGCCCUAUGGGUUGUAAACUGCUUUUAUGCGGGGAUAAAGUGAGGGACGUGUCCUUCAUUGCAGGUACCGCAUGAAUAAGG